UACGUAGGGGGCAAGCGUUGUUCGGAAUUACUGGGCGUAAAGCGUGCGCAGGCGGUUCGUUAAGUCAGAUGUGAAAGCCCCGGGCUCAACCUGGGAACUGCAUUUGAAACUGGCGGGCUUGAGUAUGGCAGAGGGGGGUGGAAUUCCGCGUGUAGCAGUGAAAUGCGUAGAGAUGCGGAGGAACACCGAUGGCGAAGGCAGCCCCCUGGGCCAAUACUGACGCUCAGGCACGAAAGCGUGGGGAGCAAACAGG
rnacentral:rRNA from 1 species